AAUAAAAAAUCAAAAGGAUGCUACUGAUUCAAUUCAGGUUUGAGCUCAAAAACUUUAAAAAAUAUUUAUCUAAAAAUCAGUUCUGAUUUCUUCUCCUUGUCAUAGCUUAAAGGUUAACCAAUGGGUUCAUGUUUGGGUGUAGCUAGAGUUUUUUGGUUGUUUGAAAUUGGUACUAGUUGUGCAAAUUGCAUCUCUAUGGUCUUUUGAAAAUGCUGAAUCAACUGUUCCAUUAACUUGGGGUCCAUUCAAUGUUCUCCUCACUAAAUCUGGGAUUAUUUAUUGCUGCUAUUGCUAUUGUUCUUUGUGACUGCCUACUCAUAUUUCUUUCCCUUUGCUUCAUUCCAGGUACACACCCAAAAGCUCCUUGAUGUAAUUCUUCAAAUUGAAAUGGAAUGGAAGCACCGCUUCCUGAUUUGUGUUUACUCGUACUAUAUAGUUGAUUAGGAAAUAGUAUACGACUGCCUAUGUAGUUUAAUUUAUGUUUUUUUGGAUUUGAGUAUGUGGAUGACAAUAUGACUCUGCUUAUAUAAUUCAUCCUAUUUCCUUUGGUUUGUAUAUGGACUGUAUAAGGACUGAAAAACUUACUUUUAUUUCGUUAUAAUUUGUAAUAGAGCAGAUGUCUAGUAUAAUGCUAGUUUAAGUUAAGUUUAUUUAAGGUCUUGAAAUUUAUCAAUCAUCAAUAUGAGAUCAUGAUCGUGGUGUUUGUCUUACUUCAAUGGCAUGGAACGUGGAAUCAAGUUUUCUUUAUGAAACAGGGGAUCAUGAGCGUGUGUUUGUCUUACUUCAAUGGCAU
rnacentral:lncRNA from 1 species